rnacentral:lncRNA from 1 species
UUUCAAUAAUCCGUACCCGAACCGGCUAUCAAACCCAAAGCCCAAAUGCGAACCCAAAUCUGAACCAGAUUACUAAACUUGAAAUCCGAAGCCAAACCGAAUCCGAUAGAGUUUAAAAAUCUACAGCUAAAUCCGAAUCUGACCAAAAAUUAAAAACACAAACUCGAAACCGAAACAAUUAUAUUUCUUUACCAUAUUUUCAAAACAUAUUAUAUUAAACCCGAAAUUUUAAAAUAAAAAUUUAAAUGUAACAUCACAUCAUAUACCACGUAAUAUAAAAUCAAUUUGGGUUCGGAUCGGACAUAGAAAAAUUGAUAUCCAAAUUCAAAUCCGUUGGAUUUUUCCUUUUUUAUAUUCGUAUCCGAAAACUAUUUUCGUUUAAUAUCAAAUAAAUAUGUUCUGUUCAAAUUCGGAGUUAGAUUCGAAUAAAAUUUCGGGUAACCGUACGGAUUGACAUCCCUAAAUUGAAGUCAAAACCAAACUAAUGAUAUGAAAAGAGGAACCAUACCGAACCGAAAAUUUUAAUUUGGGGUUUUUUAUUUAGGCUUAGUUUGGUAUUGAGAUCUAUCAAACGCUAUUAGAUAAAAUGAAGUUAAGGAAAAAGUAUAUAAGGAUAUGCUCCUGCGUUCUUCGGUAGGACCGCAAAAAAUAUAUCGUAACCGACUCAUCGCGAUAUACGGAACGCAAUAUUACGUACUGAACCAAACAGGAUAUUUUUCCAACGUAUUUUCUCACGCACGUAGCGCAAUCUCCCUACCAUCCCAAACAAAGCCUAAAGUUCGUUUGGUUUAGAUGUUUGGAUUUUUUUUAAAGACAG